CUUCUUCAAACCCAACAUCCAUCUCCUUCUUCAUUGCUCUAAACCCUUAUUCCUUUUCAUUCUUCAAAAUUAGAAUCCAUGGACUCAUUCUCACCGGCAUAACCGAAGGCAACAUGCAUUGUUCCUCAAUCUUCCCUUCCUCUGACCUUCGAAGAAACACAACAGCUUCACACCUCUACUCCUUGUUGCCAAAACGCGAAAGAGGAGCAACGAUAUUCAUCCUCUUCCUUGAUUUUCAAAGUCCUUCAUUGAAGAACCUAAUUCUUGGCAGCCAUAGACAACAAAUUCUAGGCUUUCACUUUCUUUUGAUUUUCGAGUAUACAAUGGAUUGAUCCACUCCUUCACCUGCAUUACACGAACAACAAUAGAAAGCAGGGUUGUUCUUUUGAUUCAAUGGGUAUUCACAGCAGCCUGCGUGAGAUUCAAGUCCUAAUUGUAAGUUCCUUCAACCCCUUUCGAAACAGGCCGUGUGAAGUAGAAAUUUGCAAUCUCUCUUAUAAAUUGUGGAGACAAUUUCUUUGCGAAACUAUUCUAGCUGAUAGCUGCGAAUCGAACCUGACUCUUUGAAGCGUCGUCUUUGUUUGAUUACAGAUCGAAACCGGUCGGGAACGAUGGGUUAGCGGUGCUUGAAUAGCAUUCCAAGGAUGUAUAUUGAGCUGCGCGCGUAGGAAUUUGUAGAUUUGUAUUAGGAUUUUGGAUAAAUGUAUAUUUGUUUUGGUUGUGCUGGUUAUAUCGGACUUGUAGAAGAUUUGUAUGAUUAUCUUGUGUAUUAGUUAGAUGUUGGUUUUGGGAUUUAGCUGAGUUAGUCACGUUGAAGAGCUUGUGACCUCUUUGCUUGAGUUUUGGAAGUGUGAUUUCGGUUUCUUGGGAUACGAACCCAGUGAUGACCCUGUUUACCCAGUCAAAGGUAAGUCGGGUUGUUACAAAGAGGCCCGUAGAUGUACGAUUAACAGCAAUACCAAAAAAAGUAAUUAAGAGGACCUAAAUCCUUCAUAGAAAACUCAGAGUUAAGUUUGGACAUAAGAGACUCACGGAGUAAAUCAGAAGAAGCCGUAAGAAUAAUAUCAUCCACAUAUAACAGCAGAUAAGCAAUAUCAGGACCAUGACAGUAAAAAAAAAGAGAAUUAUCAGAGAUGCUGUUAGAAAAACCAAUAGUAGUCGUAAAAGUGGCAAACCAGUGGUACCAAGCACGAGGAGCCUGUUUGAGACCAUAAAGAGAUUUACGAAGAAGACAAACAUGAUCAGGACGAGUAGGAUCACGAAAACCUAGAGGCUGAUGCAUGUAAAUAGUCUCAGUCAAGUGACCAUGAAAAAAAGCAUUCUUAACAUCUAGUUGAUGAAUAGACCAAGACCGGGAAAGGGCAAUACUUAAAACAAUGCGAACAGAGGCAGGUUUCACAACCGGACUAAAAGUUUCAUCACAGUCAAUGUCUUCCCUUUGAGAUAUACCAUC